GAUGAACGCUGGCGGCGUGCCUAAUACAUGCAAGUCGAGCGAACAGACGAGGAGCUUGCUCCUUUGACGUUAGCGGCGGACGGGUGAGUAACACGUGGAUAACCUACCUAUAAGACUGGGAUAACUUCGGGAAACCGGAGCUAAUACCGGAUAAUAUAUUGAACCGCAUGGUUCGAUAGUGAAAGACGGUUUUGCUGUCACUUAUAGAUGGAUCUGCGCCGCAUUAGCUAGUUGGUAAGGUAACGGCUUACCAAGGCAACGAUGCGUAGCCGACCUGAGAGGGUGAUCGGCCACACUGGAACUGAGACACGGUCCAGACUCCUACGGGAGGCAGCAGUAGGGAAUCUUCCGCAAUGGGCGAAAGCCUGACGGAGCAACGCCGCGUGAGUGAUGAAGGUCUUCGGAUCGUAAAACUCUGUUAUUAGGGAAGAACAAAUGUGUAAGUAACUGUGCACGUCUUGACGGUACCUAAUCAGAAAGCCACGGCUAACUACGUG
rnacentral:rRNA from 1 species